UACAAACCGCCCUCUCUCCCUGGAAUCCUAGAGGGUUUCCUAAAUGGGAGUUGGUUUUGAGGGAAGCUGAUGUGCUCCUAUAUACUGUGCACACACACACACACACACACACACAGUCAGCACAUCAGCAGCCAGGCUUUAGAAUGAGUGACCGUUCCGUUCUAAUAGGUAACUACAUGAGAAGCUGUGUCUUUUUCUGGGUAGGAUCAAAUGAACAUGAAGGCCUGUUGCACAAUGUAAAAUAUGGUACCACUAAACAUAAUAUGCUAAUAACUAGACGUACAGUGUAUAAGGUCGUUAUAAAAGCCUCUUAUUAUAAUGUAUAUAUAAACGCAGACAUAAUAUUACACAAUGGUAUGUAUAUUAUGUCAAUCUACUGCAUAGGAUUCCACGGUUCGGUGUGGUAUUUACCAGUUGGUGUGAGGGCCUGGAACAGCAUGUGGAGGAGUUCCUCCUUCAUAGGACUACUGAUGUGAGAGACGUAGUGCAAAGCAGAGCAUGCCUGGUGGUCACACACCUUCACGUCACUGGAAUGGGAGGAGACAAGGAACAGGGAUGUGAUCUAUACACCACCACAAUACAGUCAGAACAACAUGGACCAUGGUGCUCUCGAGACAUAUUUAGGGUCUCUUAGAGAACAUUCGAAUUUGUUGAUGGUGUUGAUUAGACUGCAUGUCUAAUUUAACUUAACCACCACGCGUGAAGUAAAUGUUGGCUGGACUGGACUGGAGGUUAGAGUCAUUCUAUAAAGCUGCUUUUCUUACGCUGAGGCCGCUAGCAGCUCCCUCACCACUUCUACGGGCCUGUAUUCCCAUGGCAACUGGGAGCCGAGCUCUUCGAACAUGUCGAUAUCACGGAUCGCCAGCAUCAGUGGAGUCAGGCCGUCCCUGUUUUGACAGUUCACAUCCACAAGAUCACUCUGAGCCUGAAACACACACAAUGUCCGAGUGUGACUACAGCCGAGCCAGACUGCAUUCAAAAUGUCAACAGUCUACAAAUCUGGAGCCAGGGUGCAAAGUAAACAUUGAGUAUAGACACACACACACACGCACAUGCACACAAUCUGAGCCUCGUUGUAGUGUGAGUCCUACCAGCAGGUGCUGCAGUGAGUGGAGCUCUCCCUGCCAGGCAGCCUGGAGGAGCUGGGUGUGGUGGGGCAGAGGCCUGGACAUGGACCAGAGCAGCUCCCUCUGCAGGGCAGGAGGACUCACGUGUAACGCAGUCUGGUUGCUGCGGUUGCACAGCGUGACAUCAGCUCCCUUUCUCAAGAGGAAGUACACGACCUGAAAACAGAGAGAUGCAUGUCAUCACAGAGGUGUCUCUGUGCUGGGUUUGUCCACCUGGGGGACAGGUGUAGGGAGAUCCCUAUGGCAUCCCUCGUCAUCAACACUACCAGUCUGAGUUUACACUCUGUUGCCUAGGAGAUAUUGUCAGCCCAGCAGGCCAAGAGUGGAUUAAAUGCCAACAAGCUUUAUGCCCUGCAAGAGGAAGACAAAAAGAAAGCUGCUACAAUUGGCACUCAAAAAAAAUGGCAUGAUUCUUUCUU